GAUGAACGCUAGCUACAGGCUUAACACAUGCAAGUCGAGGGGAAACGACAUCGAAAGCUUGCUUUUGAUGGGCGUCGACCGGCGCACGGGUGAGUAACGCGUAUCCAACCUGCCCACCACUUGGGGAUAACCUUGCGAAAGUAAGACUAAUACCCGAUGACGUCUCUAGAAGACAUCUGAAGGAGAUUAAAGAUUUAUCGGUGAUGGAUGGGGAUGCGUCUGAUUAGCUUGUUGGCGGGGUAACGGCCCACCAAGGCGACGACCAGUAGGGGUUCUGAGAGGAAGGUCCCCCACAUUGGAACUGAGACACGGUCCAAACUCCUACGGGAGGCAGCAGUGAGGAAUAUUGGUCAAUGGGCGAGGGCCUGAACCAGCCAAGUAGCGUGCAGGAUGACGGCCCUAUGGGUUGUAAACUGCUUUUAUAAGGGAAUAAAGUGAGUCUCGUGAGACUUUUUGCAUGUACCUUAUGAAUAAGGACCGGCUAAUUCCGUGCCAGCAGCCGCAGUAA
rnacentral:rRNA from 1 species